AGCUACUCAAGUGAGAAAGCAACUUAAUGCAUCUCGCACAAAAGGAGAACCAAUUCAAGGCUUUAAUUUCAGCACUACAGCUAUGAUAACAAGAUACCUACAGGACCAAAAAGAGCCCUGGAUCGUUGUGCUCUAUGCACCAUUGUGCCUCUUCUGUGAGGCUAUGGAAGAAUCAUAUGUGGAUUUGGCGGAGAAUUUAGCAGGGUCAGGAGUGAAGGUUGGAAAAUUUAGAGCAGACUAUGCAAAGAAUAUGCAAAGAGGGAACUAGGGUUGGGAAGCUUCCUCACAAUCCUAUUCUUGCUUUAGAUAUGACAAUGUUCCUUCAGAAAUCAACAAGUUGAGAUGUAGGGUCUAUUAUCAUGCUCUGAAGUUUCUUUCUGAUAUAGAGCAGAUGACAGAUUUAUUGACAUCGAGGAUGAG